AAGUCAAAGAAGUUGGGACUUUCUCACUUCCUAAAUGAAAGCGCAGGUUUUAAGUUCGCACGACGACACUCCGAUAGCAAUGGGUGGCUUGGUGGAGGGAAGACGAGACCGUUUAGGUUUUGCGUACGAACGACGGCACUCCGUCGACAUUGGGUGGUUGGGUGGAGGGAAGACGACACCGUCUAUGUUUUGCCAACGAACGNCGGCAGUACGACAACACUUCGGUAGNAGCGGUGGUAGGGUGGAGGGAAGACAAGUCUCUCUCUAGUUUUCACGUUCAAAGAUUCUCUCUCAAAUGUUUCUCAGAUUACAAAUCUGAAAAUGAGAAAAUGAAACCCAAAUUUGAAACCUGCCCCCAAUUCUCAUUACCAC
rnacentral:lncRNA from 1 species